rnacentral:rRNA from 1 species
UACAGAGGGUGCAAGCGUUAAUCGGAAUUACUGGGCGUAAAGCGUGCGUAGACGGUUAUGUAAGUCGGGUGUGAAAGCCCCGGGCUCAACCUGGGAAUUGCAUUCGAGACUGCAUAGCUAGGGUGCGGAAGAGGGAAGCGGAAUUUCCGGUGUAGCGGCGAAAUGCGUAGAUAUCGGAAGGAACACCAGUGGCGAAAGCGGCUUCCUGGUCCAGCACCGACGUUCAGGCACGAAAGCGUGGGGAGCAAACAGGG